UCCACCCCACGGCCUCCAGAGCCCCGGAGCUGCCCCUCCGCCACCGCCACCGCCACCACCGGCCCGCGGGUGCCGCGCGCGUCGGGAGCGAUUGCCCGCGGCGUCUGAAAACGCUGCUCCAGCGUGACCAGUGCGAAGUGCGUGGUUCACGAGGUGAGAAGCAGUGGCGUCCUUGCACGCCUUCCCGUCGAGCUGGUCCCUCCUGCCUCGGCAAGAAACCAGCGUUUUCUGAGACAGGGCUGCUAAAGGUGCCUCUGACCCCGCCGCUGCAGGUGCGUGGUGAGCCGGACACAAACCUGCCGGCUGUCCCUCAGGCACUGCAGGCGUGGUGGGUGCACAAACCCGCCGGCUGUCCUCAGACACUGCAGGGGUGGUGGGUGCACAAGCAGCUUAUCCCGGGUAGCACCCUGCCGCCCAGGCAUGGUGGCAGCACGAGGAGAGCAGAAAAGUGAACCCUUUGGCUGAGUUUUCCUCUUUGUGAUUUAGCCUGGUUUGUUUCCCUCUUACUUUUCAUACGCACGUUUUCCAUCCUGUGUCUUAAAGUGUAUCCCUUUUAUAUGCCUUUCCACCUUCCACUGCUUUUGUGUGCUUUUACCUUUAAGAUACUCAAACACAGAGCAUCUUAAAUUUCAUUUGCUCGGAUGCGCGAGGAGUGCAAAAGCCCGAGAGAUGCAUAUAGAAAAUUUAAGUGAAUUUAUGCUCGUUUGGCAUUGUGGAAAACUACUGCCCACGGAGCACGCUCAGCACUACCACAAGCAUGCCCACAUCAGUCAGCACGUAGCACUGCUCUGGACGACUGUCUCUGGAAAUGGGGAAAAUGCUCUAGUCUCCAGCUAAUAUGUCCCUGCAGGAUCAUUUAGUGGCUUGUUGAACCUCAGUAUUCCUGCGUGGUGAAGCCAAGGCCAGUAUUUGUGUCAGCUGCAGAGAAUGGCUGGAUGCACAUGAGAACAGACUGAUCUGUGACCCACACCAAGGGCCCACAGCAGUUAGCAGCAAUCACAGCAUCCGUCACUGAUCGCGUACAUUGACUUUAAUAAGCACAAGAAAAAACCUUCCAUUCCUUCUGAAAUUCUUCUAAUAGAUGAGUUUGAGAUUUAAAAGUUGGUUCUUGGUGACACUGCUCAUGAAGACACAACCACAUUAUACUUAAGGCACAAAGCCCAUGGAGACAUUUCCUGCAGGAGAUUUUUAUAUUCCUGUGCAGGACCAAUGGUAGUGUCUCUGUAUUUGUUCCUGGAUAUGUGCAGCAGUCUUGUGAAGCAAAAGGUAGGCAGGAACAGAAAGGAGGCAGCAGAAGCCUAGAAGAGAUGAGCCCAGCAACAUACAGUAUAUUGCCAUUUUUUCCUGAGCAUUAAGGCUGGUAAAGGCUAAUCAGUGUUGUACAGGUAACUCUAACAGUGGGUAACCUUAGGGACUUGAUGUAAUGAAUGCAUACAGGCAGCCUGUGAACUUCCACAUGGUGACCAAGGACUGCUGAUGUAGAGUAUCUCAACCAAGGAACAUCACCAACAGUAUCAUAUUAGCAAAACCUAGCAAUUACAGUGUAAGAGUAUCUCCUGAAAUAACAAAGAUCAAGGUUUAGUUCAGUCAAAUUAUGAACCAUGAUGACUCACAGUCAUUCAAGGCAGUCAUCAUGGCACUUAGAUGUUCUCAAAAAAAAAAAAAUUAAAAACACAUUUAGCUUUGAGAAUCAGUAAGAGCAUUUUUGGAGCAUGACAAAAUUUAUCUACUGAUUUCAAAGGAGUGAGUCCAAACCAGGUGAAUUGCUCCUGGCUUCACCUUUCAGAUUCUGAGUGGAUGUAAACAGGACACAGAUCAAGUCAGCCUUGCAUCUCACUCUCUAAAAGCAUCAUUCUUAAUUUUUCCCACCUUCAGUAUACCCUGCCAUAAAUAUAUAAAAUAUUUUGCUCAAUUUGGAAAAACCAUUUUAAUUCUUAGAAGCAUAUAGGAAUAUAGCAAAUAAUGGCAUAGCCACAAUUCUCUUAGGCUGAGAAAAUGAUGACAAUAUUUCACAGACUGCUAGAAGUAAUGACUUGCUGUUUCACCUUGAUUAUGACAAACACAUACACACAUAUGGUGAUGAGUAAGUUGCCCACUGAGAUUCAUGGAACUGCUACAUCUGAAGGAAAAUUGAG